UCCUCACGUUAUAUAUACGCGUAAUCUGUCUUAAAUUUUCAUGGACAAUUAAGGCUAAAAAAGGUCACUGCAGCUUUAGAUUAUUUUUUUUUCUUAUUGCUGUCCAGAGGCUCUUCGAGGUAUGGGGGGAGGGAUGUUGUACGCAGUCUUACCCUUGCAUAUGCAAAGAGGCUGUUUCCGGAUUCGAACCCGACCAACAAAUCACCAAGACACAACUUUAAUCUAUGACAAUGAAUGAAGGAGGGAAACGACGUGGUGCCAUCGUGGGAAAUUGCUUACGACGACAACGCACGACGGAGGAGGUUUAAUCCAAUGCAGUGGAUGUACAAUGAAAAACCCUUAAACCUAGAUGAAUCUAA